UCCACUUUACAGUGGCAGUUUGUUCCGAGUCCCCGGCUUUUCCCGCAUAGUUCAGCCCAGGUAAGGUUCUUCGCGUUGCAUCGAAUUGAGCCACAUGCUCCGCCGCUUGUGCGGGCCCCCGUCAAUUCCUUUGAGUUUUAGCCUUGCGGCCGUACUCCCCAGGCGGGGCACUUAAUGCGUUAGCUGCGGCACGGAAUCCGUCGAUAGGACCCCACACCUAGUGCCCAACGUUUACAGCAUGGACUAC
rnacentral:misc_RNA from 1 species